UCAGCCAUGGUGUGAGGGCAGGGACUGAGCCGGCCCGGCCCGGCCCGGCUCGGCGGCGGCAGCAGCACCAUGUCGGGCCCGAGCGCCGUGUCGGACCCGCAGCACCCGGCGCGGCUGCUGCGGGCGCUCAGCUCGUUCCGGGAGGAGACGCGGUUCUGCGACGCGCACCUGGUGCUGGAGGGCGAGGAGAUCCCGGUGCAGAAGAACAUCCUGGCGGCCGCCAGCCCCUACAUCAGAACAAAAUUGAAUUACAAUCCUCCAAAGGAUGAUGGUUCAACAUACAAGAUUGAACUCGAAGGGAUAUCUGUUGAUAUCAUGAAAGAGAUACUAGACUACAUCUUCAGUGGGCAGAUCAGGCUAAAUGAAGAAACUAUCCAAGAUGUGGUACAGGCAGCUGAUCUCCUGCUGCUUACAGACUUAAAAACUCUCUGCUGUGAGUUUUUAGAAGGUUGCAUAGCUGCUGAGAACUGUAUUGGUAUUCGGGACUUUGCACUGCACUAUUGUUUGCAUCAUGUUCACUACCUUGCCUCAGAGUAUCUGGAAACUCACUUUCGAGAUGUCAGCAGCACAGAGGAAUUCUUGGAACUGACUCCUCAAAAACUGAAAGAAGUGCUGUCCAUGGAAAAGCUCAAUGUUGGAAACGAAAGAUACGUCUUUGAAGCGGUGAUUAGGUGGAUUUCUCAUGAUUCAGAAUCCAGAAAGGUCCACAUGAAGGAUGUGAUGUCGGCAGUGUGGGUGUCGGGGCUGGACGCGGCGUACCUGCGCGAGCAGAUGAUGAGCGAGCCGCUGGUGCGCGAGAUCGUCAAGGAGUGCAACAACAUCCCCCUGACACCCCCGCAGCAGGGAGAGGCCAUGCUGGCCUCCUUCAAGCCCCGGGGCUACUCCGAGUGCAUCGUGACUGUUGGGGGGGAAGAGAGAGUAUCACGGAAACCAACCUCAGUGAUGCGGUGUAUGUGUCCUCUUUAUGAUCCCAAUAGACAGCUCUGGAUUGAACUUGCUCCUAUGAGUAUUCCAAGGAUCAAUCAUGGAGUAUUGUCAGCAGAAGGAUUUUUAUUUGUGCUUGGUGGUCAGGAUGAAAACAAGGGAACGCUAAGCUCUGGAGAGAAAUAUGAUCCAGACACCAAUUCAUGGAGUUCCUUACCACCAAUGCAUGAGGCACGACAUAAUUUUGGUGUGGUAGAGAUUGAUGGGAUUCUGUAUAUUCUGGGAGGUGAGGAUGGUGAAAGGGAGCUGAUCUCUAUGGAGAGCUAUGAUAUUUAUAGCCGGACCUGGACCAAGCAGCCAGACUUGACCAUGGUUAGAAAGAUUGGCUGCUAUGCAGCUAUGAAGAAGAAAAUCUAUGCAAUGGGUGGAGGCUCCUAUGGAAAACUCUUUGAAUCUGUGGAGUGUUAUGACCCCAGGACUCAGCAGUGGACAGCAAUCUGUCCUCUCAAAGAGAGGAGAUUUGGGGCAGUGGCCUGUGGAGUUGCCUCUGAGCUUUAUGUAUUUGGUGGGGUCAGAAGUCGUGACGACAGCCAAGCCAGUGAGAUGGUGACAUGCAAAUCAGAAUUUUAUCACGAUGAGUUUAAAAGGUGGAUUUAUCUAAAUGACCAGAACCUAUGUAUCCCAACUAGCUCUUCUUUUGUGUAUGGAGCUGUGCCCAUCGGAGCCAGCAUAUAUGUGAUUGGAGAUCUCGAUACAGGUACAAACUAUGACUAUGUUAGGGAAUUUAAGAGAAGCACGGGCACCUGGCAGCGCACCAAGCCGCUGUUCCCCUCGGACCUGCGCCGGACGGGCUGCGCAGCGCUGCGGAUCGCCAACUGCAAACUCUUCCGGCUGCAGCUGCAGCAGGGAUUGUUCCGCAUCCGCGUACCUUCUCCGUGACCCGAGUGCUGCCAGGGGACGAGACUGGAAGGGUUCUGUGCAGUCCACCAUAAUCUAGCUCUAUUUAAAGGAAAAGCUGAGAAAUUACAGCUGAAAAUUACACUGUAUGCUGUGCUUUGACAAAGUGCCAAGAUCCCAUAUUCAAAAGUGAUGAAUGUUCCUAAGUAUCUGUUUCACUUUGAGCUCAGUUUUCUAAGUGGCUUGGAAAACUUCCGAAAAUGUUAUUCAGAAUAUUGCCAGCUGCUAUCUCCCGAGUCCCUGUAGCUUCCCAGUACACUGAGGGCAUUCAGCAUCCAGAAAACGUAAGUGAUAAAUGCACGUGAUAAAUCCAAGUAAAUACUCUAGCAGUGUUUUGCAGUUCAAGUUACUGAACCAAAUGUUUACACUUAGAGUAGGAUUAACACUAGGUGUUCUUAGUGUGGUUUUUUUUUUUUUUAAAGAAAACAUAAAUAAAACAAACAAAUCUGCUGGUGAUUGGAGUGUGUUGUGAAUGCACUCAGUGAGAUUUGACCAAGAAGUUUAAGCCUCUGUACCUGAACCAGUCACAAAUUGAAUUUCUGAGCACAUUGUACUCGUGUCAUUUUCCAUGUGGCUGGGGACCAAGUCUCCAGGGAUGCUCUCCAGGGGUUUUGGGCGUGUGCUCAGAUUUAGGCACUCCUGAGAUCUCAAAACUGGCUUCCUUGGCCUUGCCUAAGGGAAUGGGACCAUUCCCCAUCUGCACUCUUUGUGGGACUGAUCCAAGAGCUGUUCUAGCCUCUGUGUGUGCAGGAGGGAAGGGAUGUGUCUUCCUGUCUGUCUGUCUGUCUGUCCAGCUCUGAACUGUGAGUGCACCCCUUGGAUUGUGCAAUAACCAGGUUCCAUUUCCCUCUGAAUUUGGAGCGAGGCGCUGAAGCCGAGGCUCCCCUUUCUGCAGGGAUUGUACCAGUGGUGGUGUAGGAGUGAAGAGGCAGAGCUCACCUCUGACUUCUCUUUCUCUUUUCCAAGGGGUGGUUGACUUCAGAAGGGGAGGGAGGCUGUGACAGUACCAGAGGUGCUGAGAGCAGGGAGGUCACCAGUUUGCUGAGUGUUGAAUGUGCAAAGAGCUGUAGAUUGAACUGGCUUCACUGGUAAAUGCCACCACUCAGCUGUCCCUGCUCUCCUGGCACUGUGUACCCCUGCACAUGAUGGCUGAGCCCCAUGGGAAACAACUCAGGAGUUUUUCUGAGUUGCAGUCCAGGGGUUUUAAGUGGUUUGGCAGUUUAAAACUUGUUUAAGUUGUCCUUGCUAAGCACAAUGGCCUUAAUUCCUCCCAGGUCAUGCGUUGGCACUGACAUUCAGCCAGGUCCUCCACAGGUGACUGUUUGAAUGUGUGUCCUGGCCAGAUGUCCAUGCAGGAUGAGAACUGGCUGGGCCACCUUGAGCUUGAGGCACUUGGACUGGGCCUCUGCAUCUGUUUUCCUUUCCCUGGUGAGGAAUUGGACCAACCCCAGCUACUGAAAUCAGAAAAUCACCAAAUACAGGGUAGGAACUGUGGAAGAUGGGACGAGCAGUGGCUUUUUUCUCCCCUUUCUCCAUCCCUUUCCACAAUUCCCCCAAGAAAAGUUUCUUCCUUUUUUUCAAGUGCCACAGAUAAUUUUGGAAAAAUUUUGGAAUUGUCAAUUUUAGGGGAAAAGUGGGGAAAAAAUAUAUGCUACUGUAAGCACACAGCAGUGUCCUCUGUGCUUGUUUUACACUUGUAGCCUUGUGGCUGCUCUGCACAGCAGACAGAGAUUACAGAAGUAGAGGUGUAAAGUGCUUUUGCUCUCAUAAAAUAAAUCCCUUGAGUUUCUGAGGAAGGAACAUGCCUGGCCUGGCUCUGUUCCUUACCUGGCCUUGACAGAUGCUCAUAUUCCUAAAGAGUCAGGGUUGAACUUCAGAUCCUCUCCCUUGCUGGUUUUAUAACUUGAAGAAGAGGCAUCCUGAAGAGUCUUCCGUUUUGUUGUACCAUAGCAAGGUCUAGUUGUCCUUAAAUAUUUUGUCAGCUAAUCCUUAAAUUUUAGUUAUUGUGAAGGUGCUGUGUCAGCCCAGCUGCUUCUGGUCAAGUGAAUUUCUGUAGCUUUGAGGGUACUUCAUCUUUAAAUUGAAGGCAAAUUAAUACAAAAUUACACAAAAGGACAGAAGUGAUUCUGAAACCAGAAGCUGAAAAUCAGCAAACUGAUAGCUGUGAGCAAGCUGUGUCCCUGGUGUUUGCACAGCACGUGCCUGGCACACAGCCUGCCUUCAGGAGCAGAGAUCUUGAUGAAAAUAAGGUUUUUAUCAGAGCUACUGAACUGCCUGGCUUAUGAACUCCCCCUCCAGAACACACCAGGCAGCUCGGUUGCUUUGCAAUAUUUCUGGUGCCUGCAUGACUCAGUAAAUGCACAAGUACAGGACUGAGGGGUCUGGGGAGGUUUUCCCCUGUUUUAACUGCAGUUUCUCUGUUUGUUCCAUAAAUGCUGUGCAGGGGCUCUGCUACCAUGCAUGUGCCAUGCAGAGUGGAGGAUGCAAUAACAAAUCCAAAUUGUUACAAGUGCCAAACUUUUGGGUUCUUCUGUGUAUAACAAUAAUUCAACUGUUCUACUAAAAUACAGAUAUGCUUAAAAUUCACUGUGUUCCAAAAAAGAGCAGUGGUUCUUUUUUUAAAAAUGAAUGCUAUUGAAAGCAAUGUAAAUCUGCUUUUUUUUAAUACUGUUCUGCAGGUUUGUGUUACUCUUCACAGCUGCCUUGAGUAUCACUCCAUGUGAUGCACAAUGGACACUUUGCUCUUUACUUUUACCAGAGCACUGGUGCCAUGCAAGUAUGUAAUAAAAGGCAGCUGACAACAGGCUUUAGUAUUUAAAAUUAUAACUGUUUAGAUUAAGUGCAAUUUGUUUGCAUUUAUCGACCUGCAGAAUGAAACUGUGCCUCGGGAAAUGUGGCUGUGCCCAGGGACACAGGCAGACUGAGCAUUGUAACUAAGGUGUGGUUUGGUGCCACUCACAGCAAUGCUUUCCAAGGAAUUAUAUUUAAUUUAGUGUUAAAUGGAUCCUUUCUGCCUCUAAUUUAGCACUGAGGAUUUGGGGGUUGUGUUCUCUUUAGCUCUUUGGAGUACUUAAAUGGCUACUUCAGGUGGGUGGGAGGGGUGUUAAUUGCAUCCGUGUUUGUAGAAGCUGCUAUUUCCAUCUUCCCAAAGGAGUAUUUCCUUUUCCCGUUCAGGACUGAAUACAGGCCUGGGUUUCAGUCGUCACUGCUGCAGCCUUUUGACAUUUGCCAUUUUCUGAUGCUCUUCCUUGUUUUUUCUUGGAGCUGUGUUUCCAGGGCACAUGGUCUGUGAGAGAAAAGCACAGGGCUUGGGAAGGUGAGCCAGUAAAAGCUAAAGGCAGUGGGGUUUGGGGGACACUGCUCAUUUUCUGUGGGGGUCACCUCUGUGUGCUCUCAAGUUUAUUAAUAAGUUUGGCUCCUGCUCUCCUUCAUCCCUGUGGUUUUUUUUCUUUUUUCUUUUUUUUUUUUUUCCCUGGGAAAUCCCUUGCUGUAGGAAGGAUUGCAGCCAGGAUUUAAGGUGACAGCUCUGACCAGUCAUGCCCAGUGUGACACUGCUGCUGUGCUCCAGCAAUUAAUUCUCAAAAAAUUUUGAUUAAUAAGUUACCUAAAAACAUAGACUAAAGCCAUCCAGCUAGAUGAACACCUGGUCAAAAGGAUUAAGGGUAACAAAAGAAUUAAACUAUGAGCUACUACCAAUAGAUGAGUAUAUUGAAAAAAUUAUUGGUGAUACAAAAUCUGAAUAAUGUUUUUUAAAAUUACUUAUUCUAGGUAGCUGCUUUUUAGUUAUAAAAGUAUUUGCAAGACAUAAAGGACUUGUAUAGAAUAAUAUUUGGAGGUUAUUUGAAACAAUCUAUUGAAGUGUCUUGAAAAGUGAGCUGGAAGAUUUGAGCUUUUCAAUGGAAAAAGGUUAAAUCUUGAUGUCCAGCAGUUCUGCAGGGUUUCUGUGAGCAGAGUGCACCUGCCAGAGCACUUCAGUACACGAAGCUGCUCAAUGCCACUGCCUACCUGUGCCCUUGAAUUUGCAUAAUGAAAUGAGGCUGUUCUGAGCCCUGGUAAAAGCUGACAGGUCUGAUUACAACAAUAGAAAGAAGAAUCCCCUGUGUGUAAUUAGUGUUAUUUUAUUGAUAAAACAUGAAUUAAUUUUUUUUUAAUACUGGGGCUUUUUUAAUUACCACCUUAGGCACUUAUUUAAUUUUUUUCAAAUUUGACUUUCCUCCAUUUCUUUUGAGUGAAUGCUGAGACAACCUCAGUUUUUGUCGAGGGCAAGUUUCUUUCAUCUGUAGUUCUAAAACCUGUCAGAGCCUGACCGACCUCCUGCCACCGGCUGUGCACUUGUUUCACAAGUGUCAUUUCUGUGCAUUCUGUUACUGGGCUGCCAAUUUCAGAACAGAAAAAACCCCCUGGGGAAAAAAUUUGUACCUGAUGAAUGCAAAAGCCAUUUUGGAAAGUUGAAAUUUCCAUCUGCAAUAGGUAGCAUGCUACAAAAACCUGGUACUUGGCUGGGCUAGAGGAUCUCUCCUGAACAACCUCACAUGCAAAAGCUUUGGGUUUUAUUAAUCUGCUUUAUGAAUUUACACAUGAUAGCAGGAAAGCAUUAUCAUCCCUGUCACUUCUUUCUCUGGUUUUAGGCCUUAAAAAGCAAAGCCUGCUUAUUUAUUAGAGUGAAUAAAGCAGUGUACAGGAGUAUCUGCUGAGGUGAUCAAGGUAAGCAUAGCUGCCAUUCUGUAAGCUCUUGCUAUAGUUUCUUUCUGAGGGGAAGCCAGGGAUUGCCCUCUUAAGAAAUACUUUCAAACCCUUUCAGAGCUGGUCUUAAACUAGUCCAAAGGACUCCUGCCUCCUUUGGGUUGCUUAGAGAACAUGAAGUCUAUUCUAGCUUUUGUUUGCUUGGGGAAACACCUGCUAAGUCAA